rfam:Ornithorhynchus anatinus chromosome 4, whole genome shotgun sequence.
CCCCUCUCAGGAUCGCACCUGGAGAGUUUCCACUCCUCUACCAGUCUCGGACACGAGAAGGAGAGUCAGGCAGAGGCAUGCCCCUUCCAUUCCUAGCUUAGGCAGUGGCUAGCAAGUGGAAGGCAAUCUGCUAUAAGU